UACGAGAGGACCGGGAUGGACUGGCCGCUGGUGUAUCUGUUGUCUUACCAAAGGCAUAGCAGAGUAGCCAAGCCGGGAAGGGAUAAACGCUGAAGGCAUCUAAGCGUGAAGCCCCCCUCAAGAUGAGAUAUCUCAUAACGUCAAGUUAGUAAGACCCCUUGAAGACGACGAGGUAGAUAGGGCAGAGGUGGAAGUGUGGUAACACAUGGAGCUGACUGUUACUAAUAGGUCGAGGGCAUAACCAAA
rnacentral:rRNA from 1 species